UCAGUACAGCGGCAGCGAUGGCUGCGGCGUUUCCAAACCAGAAACCGAAUUUCUUCUUUUAAAGUUGCUGCUGGGGAAAGUCGUCACGUUGGCUUGACUGCACAAAUGUACGAGGGUUGCUCCGAAAGUAAUGCUUCCUGCUUUCUUACGUUGACCCACGGCGUCAGAGGCAGAUGUUGGUGGUACGGCGGUAGAGGUCGAACCUUUACACCAGCACCCCGUUACACGCUGUUGCCGUGUGACAGAGGGCAGCAGAAGGGCUCUCUGACAGGAUGGUGCCUGACACAGAGGUGGGAGUUGGACCAAAUGAUCUUCAAAGGUCCCUUCCAAUUGAAAUGAUUCUGUGCCUUCAGAAUGCUUACAAAAGAGCUGCAAAUGCCUGAGUGCAGUUCACAUGCAGGAUCACACCCCAGGACCUUGGGUUAAUGGCAGCUCAUGCACCAAAUGCAGCUCUCAUACCCGACUCCACACAGCAGAGAAGGCUCUGCUUCUUCUAAUUAAGAAGAGAAUUUUGAAAUAUCUGCUGAAUUCUUGACCUUCAGAAUUCCCUCCGCCAGUGUUCCUCUGAUCUGGGCUCUCAAGGGCUUCCACUGUUCGUGUGAAAAUAGAGCAUCCCCUCAGUCCUGAGGCUCGACCAGAAGAGGUGAAGUUAGCAUCUGUGCUCCCUGAGUGUCCUUGUUGAGUAGGUCUGUGUUCCUUUGGUUCAUCAGCAAGGAGCCACCUGCAUCACAUGGACCUGUUGGAGUGCAUCCAGAGGAGUGCCACAAAAGUGAUCCAUGGGAUGGAACACCUUCCCUACGAGGACAGGCUGAGAAAGCCAGGGCUGCUCAUUCUGGAGAAGAGAAGGCUCCAGGGAAGCCUGAGAGUGGCCCUAAAGGGGGCUGUAAGAAAGAAGAGGACAGACUCUUUAGAAGGGUCCCUUGUGAUAAGACAAGGGAAAAUGGUUUCAAAUUAAAAGGGGAAAAUUGUAUAUAAAGGCAGAAGUUUUUUACAAUAAGAGUGGUGAGGCACUGGCACAGGUUGCCCAGAGAAGCGGUGGGUACCCCAUCCCUGGAGACAUCCAGGGUCAGGCUGGAGGAGCUCUGAGCACCCGGAUGUAGCUGUGGAUGUCCCUGUUCAUUGCAGUAAGGUUGGUCUAGAUGGCCUUUAAAAGUCCCUUCCAACUGAAAUAAUUCUAUGAUCACGUGUAGCCCAGCAAAGAGAAAGGUGUUUCCUGCUUGCCCUUUGUCAGUGAAUCCUGGCAGGAUGGAUGUUAUGCUGGGAUGCUGCAGACCUGCAGCUUGGAGGAGACAGAGGUCAGAGGAGAUAGAUGGAGGCUAAGAGCUGCGAGUCAAAACCUUCAAAGCUGAAGUCCCCACUCUGCCUGCUGGAGAACAGAGUCUGUAAAACUGCAGGGAGGGCUGCUCUGCAGGGCUGGGGGCAGGCCCACUGUCCUUCCCCAACUGCUCACGGGGACUGCAUUCCCUUCAUCUCCAUGAGCUGCUUAUAAAUGCCUUAGCGGUGUAUUUCCCUUUAUCUGAGAAGAGGGAAAGAAACAGUGUUAUUCUGCUCCUUUCCCUUCAGUCCUUUGCAGUUCACACCUGUCUCAUCUACUGUUUUUUUUUUUCCCUUCCCUUUUGCUGUGGCGUGAGGCUCUGUGGCAUGGUGAUAGGACAGAAGAAAUCUUCCUGAGAAAUGUGAAACAGGGCCACACAAACUGAAUAUUGUGUUCCAGGCCUAAGACAGAGCAGCUGGCGAAGGGACCGUGCUCCAGGCUGCCCUGCACCCCUGGUCGUCUCAGAUGGCUUCUCAGGGUGUUGGGUGGGGAUGGCCCUUUGUGUAGGCGAUCCCUAGAGGUGUGCUGACUGCACUGGGUGGAUUUCGGCACAGAAAUCUGAAUUGACUUAUUUCUGACCACUGCUGACCAACCCAAGGAACUUUGUCACCCUUUGAGGAAGGCUGAGAACAUCGUCUGGAGGACUGGCAGGUGGUAGAAGAGCUUCAGGGGACCUAUGGGCCUGGAAGUAAAUACCCAGGGUCACUCCACUUGUUAAUAUUGGUGUGUAGUUCAGAGAAUCCACAGCUCUUCAUGAACACACAGCAGCUCUUCAGAGCUCUUUCAACGCCUUUCUGCCUCCUAUGACCAGCAAGGGUGCUGGUGUCUUGUCUUGGAGGAACUGCUGCAGAGAUCCAUUCCCUUUCUGCCUCUUGAUAUUUAUUUUACAUUAGCGUGUGAGUACCCACUCUAUACAAAUCUUUGGGUGGUUCUGCUGAAGAUGUUUCCAUGCUGUGCAGCACCGAAGAUGUUUUACUGCUGCUUCCCACGCUUAUCAGGAACUGAAGCCAAUAGUGAUUGUCUAAUCACUCAUACGCCCUCUCUGUUCUGCAACAGCGUUGUCAGAGUUUUCUAUCUAUGGCAAUUCUUUUGUUUGUUUCAUUUUUCCUGAUGUCUAUGCUGAGUUAGUUUUAGGAACAAAAGUCUGCUUUUAAUCAGUAUCCUAAAAAAUAAGUUUUUCCUGGAAGUAACUCAAGGAAUGGUAUCACUGGCGUCACUAGCUCCUUGAGACAAGCCUUCAGCUGCUGUGAAACACAAAGAUCUGCUGGCUCUCCUGCAGAGUCCCAGGCAUGUAGAUAAUGUAUGUUUUGCUUGUUCCAGGCAGCCCAGCCGCCCUUCAACACGCAAGGGUUCAUGUGUGGAGUGGGCAGUACCAUUCUGAGUGUGAGCUUCAUGUAAAUGCUUUAACAAUAUAUACCCUUUUAUCUGAAAAAAGGUAAAAACAAUCUUAUUCACCUGCUUUUUAUGAAUUUCAUGAAUGCUUUUCCUUCUACCAAUCCAUAUGGGUACAUCCAGCUUGUGAUUUUUCUCUAUAAGGUUUUGCGAGGUACAUCAAGGGAUGCUUCAAGUGAAGUGCUACCUCAAUGAAUAUGCCUUGCAAACCUGCAAAGUGACUUAUUUCACUCUGUUAAACUCACUUAAGCAAAAGCAUUUCCUAUCUAAAAGAAGGGUGUACCCUCUGUAUCUUUCACGCCACAAAUUUAUAAGUGCCUCUUUUUUUUCUUCCUUUUGGUUCACUCUCCUUGUUGCUGAGCCUUCAAAUAUUGUGAUCAGAAUACGGAAAGGUCUAUCGUGUUGCACAUGUAAGAGUGUAAAACUAGAAAUAUUGAUCUGAUUGUUCUUUCAGCUUGUAAGAGUUCAUCUAAUAGCCACAUUGAAGUCCUGCUUUUCUACUGCUUACUGAGUGAAAAACAAUUCUGUUUUGCCCUUCC
ensembl:lncRNA